GAUGAAGAACGUAGCGAAAUGCGAUAAGUAAUGCGAAUUGCAGAAUUCCAGUGAGUCAUCGAAUCUUUGAACGCACAUUGCGCCCUUUGGUAUUCCUUAGGGCAUGCCUGUUCGAGCGUCAUUUGAAACCUCAAGCUCAGCUUGGUGUUGGGUGUCUGUCCCCGCCUCACCGCGGGGACUCGCCUCAAAAUCAUUGGCGGCCGGUACGUUGGCUUCGAGCGCAGCAGAAACGCGAACUCGAGGCCCGGCGGAUCGGCGACCAGAAGUCACUUCUUCACAGUUUGACCUCGGAUCAGGUAGGGAUACCCGCUGAACUUAAGCAUAUCAAUAAGCGGAGGA
rnacentral:misc_RNA from 1 species